AGUGCAGCAGGGUCUGUGCAAAGGGCUGGGGGUAGGGCGGGGGUAGAGGCAGUGGGAAAGAAAGUGAGGGAACAGGGUGUUGGAAGAAAAGAAGCCAGGAAGGGUCCCAGAGGAAGAUGUUCCAGAAGCACCAUUUCAAAUGGAACAGUCAAGCCUGAGACAUCUGGGCAUGAGAGGUGCCAGGUGGGCCUGGACUGGGCAGCAGUCGGGCACCAGGAAAUUCCCUGGGAGUCAAAGCAGUCGGGAGAGGCAGAGUCAAAAGAGGCUGAUUUGCAAACAGCACAGGGCUCUGCAAACAGAAACUGCAGCUGCAGGACCCAAGGACAGAAUUUAGAUUUAUGGAGUGUGGAUAGGACUUUUGGUCAGCAUCAGUCACCUCCACCCUGUGAAUCACAGCCAAAUCUGGAUGAGUUGUAUUAUUGACCAUGAUAAUAGGAGGAUGAAUGGUGGCUGUGAUCGCCUGUACUGCCAUCAACCUAUAAGAUGGCUAGAAAUUUUGAUCUGGCCAGCCCUUGGCCCAGAUAACGAUGUGCCAGAGACACCGUGACCGCCGUGAGCAAGACAAAGGCCACUAUGCACAAUCCUGCGAUGGAGGGGCCCGCUCUGUCAUGGGUCAGAGCCCAGCUUCACAGAGAAGAUGUGCUAAGGAAGCUUUCUCCCCCACAGAUCCGGCUCCUGGCCUCAACCUGUGAGUUCCCCGAGAGUACAAGCCACAUCUUCAUUCUGGGCCACCUCUCUGAGCUCUCUCCUCCACCCUCCCAGUGACCUCCUGCUCAGAGCUCGCUCCUGAGCCUCAGGCUCCCACGUGCAGCUGCGUGCCAGACAAUUCCACCCUGGGGACCUCCCAGGCUCUUCAAAAGCAACACGUGUAGAACUGGCCAGAGCUUCGUUCAGAACCCUCACCCCAUCCUGACGUCCCAUCUCGAUGAAGGAUGCUGCCAUCCACCCGCUGCCUCACUUCAUUGCCACAUCCAACCUGUGACGUGUCCCUUAAUUCCACCUCCUCCUAUUCUUGGUUCCACAUGCUUCUCCUCCAGUGGGACACUGCUAUUGCCCAAGCACCCAUGGCCACAGGGAUAACAGCAGAUAAUUUUGAUGGAGCUUUCGGGGUGCCGAGUGUUGUGGUAGUAUGUACGUAUAUAAAUAAGUGAAUUAAGUAAGUUGCUCUUCAUAUGCGAACUCCUUCAAUGUCCGCGCCUACUUGGUAGCUUAGUGCUCAUUACCAGUCUCUCAUUUGAUGGUUAAGGACAUUGAAACUCGGAGAGAAUAAAUAACUUGCUGGAGCUGGAACGCGAGCCCCUCUUUCUCUAAUGCUAAUGCUCCAGCCCUUGACCGUUCCAUGAAAACUGAAAUGUGGGCUGGUGUUCUGUCCCUACCACCAGCCUUGCCCUUUUAAGUCCUUUCUCCCUUCUUAUAGCCCGGGGCAUUUUUAAAAAUAGAAGUCUUAUCAUGUAUCCUCCACUGACAACUCUUCAUUGUUUUUCCUUUGCCCUGGAUACGGUACAAACUUGUUUCGAGCUCACUGGGCCCUUCACAAUCUGGACCACAUUAACCUCUCCGACUCUCUUCUUGCCUCUG